rnacentral:rRNA from 1 species
UGGGGAAUAUUGCGCAAUGGGGGGAACCCUGACGCAGCCAUGCCGCGUGAAUGAAGAAGGCCUUCGGGUUGUAAAGUUCUUUCGGUAUUGAGGAAGGUUGAUGUGUUAAUAGCACAUCAAAUUGACGUUAAAUACAGAAGAAGCACCGGCUAACUCCGUGCCAGCAGCCGCGGUAAUACGGGGGGUGCGAGCGUUAAUCGGAAUAACUGGGCGUAAAGGGCACGCAGGCGGUUAUUUAAGUGAGGUGUGAAAGCCCCGGGCUUAACCUGGGAAUUGCAUUUCAGACUGGGUAACUAGAGUACUUUAGGGAGGGGUAGAAUUCCACGUGUAGCGGUGAAAUGCGUAGAGAUGUGGAGGAAUACCGAAGGCGAAGGCAGCCCCUUGGGAAUGUACUGACGCUCAUGUGCGAAAGCGUGGGGAGCAAACAGGAUUAGAUACCCUGGUAGUCCACGCUGUAAACGCUGUCGAUUUGGGGGUUGGGGUUUAACUCUGGCGCCCGUAGCUAACGUGAUAAAUCGACCGCCUGGGGAGUACGGCCGCAAGGUUA